GCGGGUGUAGUUCAAUGGUAGAAUUCCAGCCUUCCAAGCUGGCAGUGUGGGUUCGAUUCCCAUCACCCGCUCCA
rnacentral:tRNA from 1 species